AGUUUUGCCUUAAUUUGGCAAAAAAAAAACCCACAAAAACAAUUAGUGGUUUUGCAUUAAUUUACCAUAUAAAUUCAAACAGUCGAUUCGUUCACAAAAGAGUCGAUUCGUUCUCGAGCGACACUUCACCUAAGUGCGCGCGCCUUGGCUACCGGGAGCGCGUAUCCUCCUCCGGCGAGACUGGCGAGAGAAGCGGGCCAUCGCUGCCCCGACCGCGAGCACUGAGGACAUCAUGAGCUCCAGAAAAGUGAUGGCUAUCCAGGCUCGAAAAAGGAGGCCGAAAGGGAAGAAAGACAAGACGACUCACCAUCGAAGGUUAACCAGCAAAUGGUCAACAGCAGGCGCAUCAGCCCCGCCUCAUACAAAAUUCCUGAAGGCAACAUUGUAAAUUCCCAGUACCAUGGACAGGUCAUGACAAGCAGAUGAGAGUUUUUUUUAAUAUGAUAUCUUUGUUUUGAGCUUUAGGUUUUGACUCUUACAGUAGACUAAACUAUGCCUGAAUUUAUGUUCUGGUGU
ensembl:lncRNA